rnacentral:rRNA from 1 species
GGAAUNCCAUGUGUAGCGGUGAAAUGCGUAGAUAUAUGGAGGNACACCAGUGGCGAAAGCGGCUCUCUGGUCUGUCACUGACGCUGAGGCUCGAAAGCGUGGGUAGCGAACAGGAUUAGAUACCCUGGUAGUNCACGCCGUAAACGAUGAGUGCUAGGUGUUAGGCCCUUUCCGGGGCUUAGUGCCGGAGCUAACGCAAUAAGCACUCCGCCUGGGGAGUACGACCGCAAGGUUGAAACUCAAAGGAAUUGACGGGGGCCCGCACAAGCGGUGGAGCAUGUGGUUUAAUUCAAAGCAACGCGAAGAACCUUACCAGGUCUUGACAUCCCGAUGCUAUUCUUAGAGAUAGGAAGUUACUUCGGUACAUCGGAGACAGGUGGUGCAUGGUUGUCGUCAGCUCGUGUCGUGAGAUGUUGGGUUAAGUCCCGCAACGAGCGCAACCCUUAUUGUUAGUUGCCAUCAUUAAGUUGGGCACUCUAGCGAGACUGCCGGUAAUAAACCGGAGGAAGGUGGGGAUGACGUCAAAUCAUCAUGCCCCUUAUGACCUGGGCUACACACGUGCUACAAUGGCUGGUACAACGAGUUGCGAGCCGGUGACGGCAAGCUAAUCUCUGAAAGCCGAUCUCAGUUCGGAUUGGAGGCUGCAACUCGCCUCCAUGAAGUCGGAAUCGCUAGUAAUCGCGGAUCAGCACGCCGCGGUGAAUACGUUCCCGGGCCUUGUACACACCGCCCGUCACACCACGAGAGUUUGUAACACCCGAAGUCGGUGAGGUAACCUUUUAGGGNCCA